rnacentral:rRNA from 1 species
UACGUAGGGACCGAGCGUUGUCCGGAAUCAUUGGGCGUAAAGAGCGUGUAGGCGGCCACUUAAGUCCUGCGUGAAAUCUUGCGGCUCAACCGCAAGCGGUCGUGGGAAACUGGGUGGCUAGAGUGCGGGAGAGGAGAGUGGAAUUCCUGGUGUAGCGGUGGAAUGCGCAGAUAUCAGGAAGAACACCCGUGGCGAAGGCGGCUCUCUGGACCGGUACUGACGCUGAGACGCGAAAGCCAGGGGAGCAAACGGG